GUUUCCUUGCCGAGCAUGCGCCUUAGUUCUCUCCUCUGGGGCUGUGAACGUGGGGUCGAAGCGCGCGUGCGCGGCGGCGGCAGGCGGCGGCGGUGGGGCGGGGCCUGGGCUGUCAGCCGGCCUAGGAGGAGGAAGGAGCCUGCAGCGUGCAGCGUGAGGGGCGGGACCCGGCUGCCGGCGGUGGGUCUAGCUGGGGGAGGUCGGGCCAUGCUGGUGGGCCAGGGCGCGGGGCCGCUGGGGCCCGCGGUGGUCACCGCCGCGGUGGUGCUGCUGCUGAGCGGCGUGGGGCCGGCGCACGGCUCGGAGGACAUCGUGGUGGGCUGCGGUGGCUUCGUCAAGUCGGACGUGGAGAUCAACUACUCGCUCAUCGAGAUAAAGCUGUACACCAAGCAUGGGACUUUGAAAUACCAGACAGACUGUGCCCCUAAUAAUGGUUACUUUAUGAUCCCUUUGUAUGAUAAGGGGGAUUUCAUUCUGAAGAUUGAGCCUCCCCUAGGGUGGAGUUUUGAGCCGACGACUGUGGAGCUCCAUGUGGAUGGAGUCAGUGACAUCUGCACAAAGGGCGGGGACAUCAACUUUGUCUUCACUGGGUUCUCUGUGAAUGGCAAGGUCCUCAGCAAAGGGCAGCCCCUGGGUCCUGCGGGAGUUCAGGUGUCUCUGAGAAACACUGGGACCGAAGCAAAGAUCCAGUCCACAGUUACACAGCCUGGCGGAAAGUUUGCAUUUUUUAAAGUUCUGCCUGGAGAUUAUGAAAUCCUCGCAACUCAUCCAACCUGGGCGUUGAAAGAGGCAAGCACCACAGUGCGUGUAACCAACUCCAAUGCCAAUGUGGCCAGUCCCCUCAUAGUUGCUGGCUACAAUGUGUCUGGCUCUGUCCGAAGUGAUGGGGAGCCCAUGAAAGGGGUGAAGUUUCUUCUCUUUUCUUCUUUAGUAACUAAAGAGAUUAAUCUUCAGUAUCUAUGAGUGCUGGGUGAUUUGCGGAAACUGCAGCUGCUUUAUCAAUAUCAGCUUGGCCUCCACUGAUCAAACCCUCAUUUAGGCGUUCACUGCCGUCUGCUGGAAACAGCCCAGGGAUGAGGAGGGAAGGGAAAAGGCCACUUCGGGAAGCCACCUUGCCUUGGAGUUUCCGUCGUUUUCCGAGCUCUCCCCCAGUCAUUCAAAGACACUGUGACCAGCUGGCCAGGUGACAAGAAGUCCUAGGGCACAAGCCUGAAGCCUUCGGGAGAAAUUUCAGCUUUACAGGGGGCAGAAUGUUUGGUAACUAUUUAGAUUUAAAGCAGAAGCACUUUGGAUUGAGCAAUUUCAUAUGUGACAACUGUCUUUGCCACAAGCAACAGCAGAGACCUGCAGAUGAGAACACCUUUAUGAAGAGCAAGACCAUGCUUUGAAGUUGGACAGAGAUCUUGGUUCAAAUCCUGGCUCUGCCGCUUGUUAGCUAAGUCACUUCAGGUAUCUAAGUGUCAUGAUUUAGAUGUCCUGGCAUGCACUGUGCUCUUUUUCUGGAAGCCUCUUUUCUUUCUUCAUCCAACUACCUCCUCUUCUUCCUUCAAGACUCAGCUGAGACUCUCUUGAGCAAAUUUUCCAAGACUCCUUAAGGGGAAGGACCUGGUCCAAGUUGACUUGGUGUCUCCGUCAUCAAGCACAAUGCCUGGUUCACAAUGGACUCUUCAUGCAUCUCUUUCUAUAACAUGAGAAGGAUCAGAGGGCCAGUCAUUCAUAUGAUUGAAAAAUUUAAAAACAAGAGUAUGCUAGAAUAGUCAGUGAAAAUUGUCCCUUCUGCCCGGAACAUUUCCUGUUCACAGACAGCCAUUGUUAUGUGUUUCUUCUUUAUCUUUGCAGAAUUUCAGGUACGUACAAGCAAAUACAAAUGUAUAUGCACUUCUUUUUUUUUUUAUUACACAGACAGUUCUGUAUCCUGCCUUUUAAAACUUAUAUCCUUCUUAUCUUUCUGUAUCAGGGUAUAGUGAGUUCUUUCAUUCUUACUUAUAAUUAUAUGUUUUUCUAUUAUAAUGGAUAUAUUAUGUCUUAUUUAAUUAUUUCUCUCUUGAUGAACAGUUGGGAAAGUUCUCAUCUUUUGCUAUUACAAACCACAAUGCGAUGAAUAACAUUGCAUGUAUGUCAUUGUGUACAGGUGUGCGUAUAUUCUAGGAUAAAUUUCCAAAAGUAGAAUUGCUGAGUUACAGGGUAAAUGCAUUUCUGAUUCUGAUAGUGCUCAAAGGUCCGGGGGCACAUAGAGAUGGUGCUUUAGCAGUGAGCUUAGGCUGACAGCGGUUAAGAGAGACAUGCCUCAGGUUGCCAGUUAAAAAAAAAAUCUGCAUAAUGUGUUGCUUAAAGAAUGUGGUAAGGUGAAAGCUUGGAAAUACUGGUGUCAUUGGAAAGACAGAAAUAAGACAGAGAUUGUGUUGGGAAGAGAACAUGGAAUUUCAAGUAAUUUCUGCCUGGGUUUGCAUCUUGACCCUGCCACUCCUGGCUAUAUGACCUUGGGCAGGUUGCUUCACAUCUCUGAGCUCAGUAUUCUCACCUGUAAAAUAAAGACCAUGAUAACUUCCAUUAUAGGCUGCUGGAGGAAGUAAAGAAGAAAAUAUAAACAGCAGUUAGCAUGAUGUCUGGCACAUGGUGUGCAUUCAGGAUAUAACUGGGGCCUUUGGGAACCAGGCAAUAUUCCAGACAAACAUGACAUCAGUAACAUCCAUAUGUCUGUGAUGGGGUAGGAGAGAAGACUACUUUUCAGGUGGGACAUUUUGAUUGGAGAGGGUCUCUGAUUCAGAGAGUGAGGUGAGCUAUUUUCUUCUUGGGAGUUCUUGGCAUUUGAUAAUCCUUGGUGUUUAUUUCAAAUUAUGGAAGAAUUUGAGAUUUACUUAGACAUCUUGGCAUGCAGCGCUAAACCUCAGACUUCCUGAAUUUAUUUACCAGCUAGGGGAAGCAUAUUCCCCACUUUAAUUUUAUUUACAAAGGGCUCUAGUCUGGUGUGAAGUCUGAAGGCAUAUUUGUUGUAGGAGUUACUCAAUUAGCCAGCGAGAAAAGAACAAAGGAAAAGUCAUUAUGCAGAUGUAUGCCCAUUCAAAGCUAUUCCGCCUCUAGAUGCUUUCUUCGUAGUGAAUGGAGGAACUCCAGUCUGCAAGUCUCUCGUCUCUGCUGUGUUUUCUGCUAAUUCUCUUCUAAUAUUAGGCCAUGAAUGAUUAAUAAUAUUGCAUUUUGACACUGUUAGAUUUUGUCAAUUUUUUUCAAUAUAAAAGCAGAUAAUUACAGAUUACUUUAACAUCCAGGAAGUGAAAUCAACCAUGAAUUACACUCAGACUCAUCCACAACCCCUUGAAUAUAUUUCUUUUUUUUUUUUCAAUAGGAGAUUGAAGUUUCUUUCUUUAGUCAUUUACACAAGUCAUGUCUGACAAUUGAGAAAAUGCUGUUCACAUAAAACAUCAUAAAUUAAAAAUAUACAGUGUUUGUAUUUUAAUACAAUAGGGUCCCAGGAUUCAAACAAAGAAUUCUGAUCUCAGAAGUUGCAUUAUGUAGUUAUGUGUUCUGCUUUAAAGCACUAUACUGGAGGUGAACUUGAAACUGCCUUUGCAGAAAUUAUAACUGAGGAAAUUAUGACAAUGAAGGAGAUCAGACCUAACCAGCUACAGCUUGCAUCUAAUCUUAAAGCUAUCCUUAUUCAUUCCUGGGCAUAGGCCGAAAUAACCUUGGGAAGGAAUUUACAGUUUGACUCUGAAACAAAAUUGAUAAUAGCCCUUUCCUGAAAAGACCCCUUUCUUGCCUGGUGACCAGUCUGCCUUUGUAGGACUAACAAAUUGGCUACAAGAUUGGAAAUUAUGGUUUAGGGGUCAUGCAGCCCCUGACUCCAAGAGUCUGAACCUCCCCAGAUUGCUCCUAGGGAUAGCAUCAUUAUUGUAAAACUGAAGAUCAGUGCUUGAGAUAUCUGCAAACCCUGCACUCAGUGGAUCAGCUGACACCACCCAGACUGGUAACUUGGCUCCCAGUUCUGCCAUCCCACCCAGGAACAGAAGACCACAAGAAAACCUCACUUCCACCCCCUAUGAUACCAUCUCCAACCUGACCAAUCAGCACCACUUCCUGGGCCGCUGCCCACCAAAGUAUCUCUAAAAACUCUGAUCCCCAAAUGCUCCAGGAAGGCUGAUUUGAAUAAUAAUAAAACUCAGGUCUCCCACACACGUGGCUCCGUGUGAAUUACUGUUUUUCCACUGCAAUUCCCCCAUCUUGCUAAAUUGGCUCUGUCUAGGCAGGGGGCCAGGUGAACGCAUUGGAUGGUAUAUUUCUCAAGAGUCAAAUAUUAAUAGGUUUCACAUGUAAGACUUACGUAUGUGUGUGUGUGUUUACAUACACAUAUAUUUCAAUAGCUUUUGGGGUUCAAGUGGUUUUUGGUUACAUGGAUGAAUUAUAAAUUAUAUAGUGGUAAAGUCUAAGAUUUUAGUACCUGUCACCUGAGUAGUGUACACUGUACCCAAUAUGUAGUUUUUGUAUCCUUCAUUCCCUUUUCAUCCUCUCCUCUUCUGAGUCUCCAGUGUCCAUUAUAUCACUCUGUAUGCCUUUAUGUACCUAUGGCUUAGUUCCCACUUAUAAGUGAGCAUAUAUGGUAUUUGGUUUUCCAUUCCUGAGUUAUUUCACUUAGAAUAACGGCCUCCAGCUCCAUCCAAGUUGCUGCAAUGACAUUAUUAUAUUAUUAUUUUUUCAUGGCUGAGUAGUAUUCCAUGGUGUAUAUGUACACACAUUUUCUUUAUCCACUCAUUGGUCAAUGAGCACUUAGGUUGGUUUCAUAUCUCGACAAUUGUGAAUCCUAAAUUUUACAUGCAAGGUUUUGCAUCUGUAGAGGAAGACAGGAUUCUCAGUGCAUGUGCCAAUUUUUGGGUUUUCCACUUGAGAAUCUUCACCAGUUUCCUCUUCAGAAUCAAAUUCCUGACUAUCUGGUGCUUCAAAGUUAUCCAGAGGUUCAUCAUUCAGUCUCUGGGUUGCCUCUGUCAUAUACUGUACUCUGCCGCUUUUGCCAAUUGCUUACUCUCCUUUUCCAAGUGGUCAAUUUCAUUGUUCUUUCUUCAAUUUCUCUGUGAAGCUUCUCAUUUUUCUUAAGUGUUUCAUAGAGGGUGUUCCUUUGUUCUGCUACUUCUCUCCAAUAUUGAGGGGAUAAAUUUCAUUUAAUCCUAAGAUCAAAUGCUUCUUGGGUGACUCCUCCAAGGAUUUAAUUGUCACUCUAUUCUGGGACAAUGACAACUCUAGAGUGGGAAGUCCUGGCUGUCAACUGGUCAUUCCAAUGCUUCCUCUUGGAUAUGUUUUGGGCCAGUCACUUUUUUUUUUUUUUCCCAACAAGAGAUCUGGCUGUGGAAGGAUGAAUCAUCUUCAGAGUUCUUCUUGGGGAGAAACUGUUCUUUACAUUCUCUUUGAUUCUUCCUUGUUUCUACUUUAUCCUAGGAUUCAUUAUACAGCUGGUAAAGCACAAAAGAUGGGAGGAGAGGAUUAAUGAUCAUAGUGAAUUCAGGUGGCUGUGGCACAGCCAACCUACAUUGAUCCCCACUGUCGCUGGAGUGGCUGGGGCACACUGCUGAAAAGACUUACUCCUCUUGAACAUACUCCUUUGAGUCGUUUUUGUAUAUGUAAUUUUGCAUAUUUUUUUCUUUUUUUAUUAUUAUACUUUAAGUUUUAGGGUACACGUGCACAACAUGCAGGUUAGUUAUGUAUGUAUACAUGUGCCAUGUUGGUGUGCUGCACCCAUUAACUCGUCAUUUAGCAUUAGGUAUACUUUUAAUCAUAGUGCCAUACAAUUGUAUUGCAUUUUCCAUUUAUAGCAUAUUAUAAUUAUUUUGACUUUUAUUAUGAAAUUUUCAAACAGAAAAGUAGAUAGUAUAAUAAAAUAAAAAGUAUAUAUAUAACAAGUAUGUCGGCUGGGUGUGGUGGCUCAUGCCUUUAAUCCCAGCACUUUGGGAGGCUGAGGCAGGCAGAUCACUUGAGGUCAGGAGUUCGAGACCAGCCUGGCCAACAUGGUGAAACGCUAUCUCUACUAAAAAUAAAAAAAAUUAGCUGGGUUUGGUGGUGGGUGCCCGUAAUCCCAUCUACUCAAGAGGCUGAGGCAGGGGAAUCACUUGAACCUGGGAGGUGGAGGUUGCAGUGAGCCAAGAUCAUGCCACUGCACUCCAGCCUGGGCAACAGAGCAAGACUCCAUCUAAAAAAAAAUUAUAUAUAUAACAAGUAUGUAAACAAAAUACAUAAGUAAAAGGUAGAAUAAAAAAAGAUAGCAUAAUACACACCCAUGUAUUUAUCGCUUAGAAUUAACACGAAUAUUAUAUUUUCUUUGUGCAUUUUUUCUUAAGUGGUUCAAAAGGAAGUACAGACAUCAUGAUAUUAAACCCUAAAUCAGUGGCUCUCAACUGAGGGUAAUUUUGACCCAUGUCCUCCGCAAGAGGACUUUUGGCACUGUCUGGAGACAAUGUUGGUUGUCACAAAAGGAAGCAUGCCUGCAUCCCUGGUAGAGAUCAGGGAUGUUACUAAACAUGCUACAAUGCACAGGACUGCCCCCUCCAAAACAAAGAAUUACCUGGUUCUAAAUGCCAGUAGUGCUAAGGUUGAAAACCUUUGGUCUAAAUGAUUAAGAAUGCGUUUCUUAAAUUGCAAAAUUUCACAUAACCGCAUAGCACCAUCACUUCUAACAAAGUGAAAAAUAACUCUUUAAAAUUGUCUAAUAACCAGUCCAUGUUUCUCCACCAUUCCACUAAAAUGUUUUUUACAGCUGGUUUUAGCAAACACUUUCCAUUUUAUUAGCACUGCUAAUAGAAUCUCAUUCUAAAUGACUACAGAAGAGUCUGUUCAAUGGAUUCCCUGAAAUUUAUUCAAAGGAUCUAUUUUUAGAUACUAGUUUUGCUUCCAGGUUUUAGACAAAUUAUAUUUUUGUAAAUAAUGACAGUUUACUUCUUUUCUUACUUUGUGCCUUUUCUUUCUUUUAUUUGCCUUAUGUUCUGGCUAAAAACUUCAGUGAAUACUGAACACAGCGUAUGAGAGUGGGCAUCCUUUUGUUGUUCCAGAUUUUAGGAGCAAAAGAUUUAAUAUUUUAUUAAUUAUGAUAUUAACUGUAGGUUUUUAAAGAUGAACCUUAUCAUAUUGGAGAUGUUCCCAUCUAUUCCUAGUUUCACUGAGCGUUUUUAUCAUAAAGAACUAAUGAUUUCUGUCAAAUUUUUUUUCUGUGUAUUUUGAAAUGAUCAAAUGGUUUUCCCUGUUACUCUGUUAUAGUAUGAUGAAUUAUAUUGAUUGAAUUUCAUUAAACCAACCUUGCUUUCUUGGAAUAAA